GCAGCCGCAAGCGCCUCUUCCGUGCUCAUUUAAAAGGGCAGCAAAUCUAGCAAAUUGCGAUUUCAGGUUUUAUUUUGGCAUUUAGUUGAUGCUUUGGGGGCAAAUUCACGUCCAUAUGGGAGGAGCUUCAUGAUGCAAGAUUCUAACUCUCUCUUUUUUCCACUUCACACAUAAGGUUUUAUUCUUUCAUUGAUAAAAUAAGCUCACGGCCAAGGGCCAAGGGGUCCAUUCAUCACUUACAAAAUAAUAUUUGGAAGAGAGAAAUGCAUUGACAGACCCAAGUAAAUUCCAGCUGGAAGAAGUAGCGCACGAGAGAUUGAAGUAAGUGAGUGAUGGUUGAGGAUUUACCCCUUUCAUUAUAGAAGCCAUGGUGCAGCAAAGAUAAAAAACACACGGCCCAUGGACAACUAAGCAUUCAGCAAAACAUAUGUUGGGAUAAAAAGUGGGAGAAGCCAUUGAAGGGAAUAUUAUCCUCAAUGGAAAAGCUUGACACACGGACAUGGAGAGGGGGCCACGACUGAACGGAAGAGAUUACUCAUGGCAGAUUGUUUUUUUCCUUUAAAAAUGAAGAGGCACACAAGGGGAGAAGGAGACGGACGCUACACAGAAGUUUUUCUUUUGGCUGGAGUUCUCUGAAGAAAAACAAAUUGGUUGGAGGGCAAUGAGAGGAGGAAUGCGUAAGCUACCAC
rnacentral:sRNA from 1 species